GACGAACGCUGGCGGCGUGCCUAAUACAUGCAAGUAGGACGCAGUUGCGAACGGGUGAGUAACGCGUAGGUAACUACCUAUUAGAGGGGGAUAACUAUUGGAAACGAUAGCUAAUACCGCAUACUAGUAGAUGGACCUGCGUUGUAUUAGCUAGUAGGUAGGGUAAUGGCCUACCUAGGCAACGAUACAUAGCCGACCGGAUAGGGGGAUCGGCCACACGGGGACGGAGACACGGCCCAGCCUCGUACGGGAAGCAGCAGGAGGGAAUCUGCGGCAAUGGGGGGAACCCUGAACGAGAAAGGCCGCGUGAGUGAAGAAGGUUUUCGGAUCGGAAAGCUCUGUUGUUAAGGAAGCGGUACUUAACCAGAAAGGGACGGCUAACUACGUGCCAGCGGCCGCGGUAAUUC
rnacentral:rRNA from 1 species